rnacentral:rRNA from 1 species
GACGAACGCUGGCGGCGUGCUUAACACAUGCAAGUCGAGCGAUGAAGUUUCUUCGGAAAUGGAUUAGCGGCGAACGGGUGAGGAACACGUGAAGAAUCUGCCCUCCACUUUGGGAUAACACCGGGAAACCGGUGCUAAUACCGAAUAUUGAAACAUAAGUGGCAUCACUGAGUUUUGAAAGAAUUUCGGUGGAGGAUGACUUCGCGGCCUAUCAGCUAGUUGGUGAGGUAAUGGCUCACCAAGGCAACGACGGGUAGCCGGCCUGAGAGGGCGACCGGCCACACUGGGACUGAGACACGGCCCAGACUCCUACGGGAGGCAGCAGUGGGGAAUAUUGGGCAAUGGAGGAAACUCUGACCCAGCGACGCCGCGUGCGGGAUGAAGGCCUUCGGGUUGUAAACCGCUUUCAGUAGGGAAGAAGCGAAAGUGACGGUACCUACAAAAGAAGCACCGGCUAACUAUGUGCCAGCAGCCGCGGUAAUACAUAGGGUGCAAGCGUUGUCCGGAAUUAUUGGGCGUAAAGAGCUCGUAGGUCGUUUGUUACGUCGGAUGUGAAAACCUGAGGCUCAACCUCAGGCCUGCAUUCGAUACGGGCAAACUAGAGUUUGGUAGGGGAGACUGGAAUUCCUGGUGUAGCGGUGGAAUGCGCAGAUAUCAGGAGGAACACCAAUGGCGAAGGCAGGUCUCUGGGCCAAUACUGACACUGAGGAGCGAAAGUCUGGGGAGCGAACAGGAUUAGAUACCCUGGUAGUCCAGACCGUAAACGGUGGGCACUAGUUGUGGGAACCUUCCACGGUUUCUGCGACGCAGCUAACGCAUUAAGUGCCCCGCCUGGGGAGUACGAUCGCAAGAUUA